CUUGCCUACAAAUCGUUCAGUCGGUCUGUGUCCGUUGUUGAGAGGGAACGAGUGUCGAUAUUUUUACUUAUAUAUAAAGCCGGCUAAUUGGUUUCCGAUGCAAGAUAAAGGUACUGUUUUAAAAGAAUUAGCAACAUAUUUGUGACGUCGUGACAAAGAUGUGACAGAACAACGUGGGCGCAACGUUAAAAGGUGUGGCAUGCAUGCCCAGAGACAGACUGAGCUGGAGUCCUGCAACCUCACGAUAGCGGCUGGACUUUGCAGAACGUGAACUCUGCAUCAUUGAACGUCUAAAACUUAAUGUUACUUGGAACUGACUGAAAAGGAGAAAGGAGUGAAUAAGAAAAGAAGUGAAGUGAACAUACAUUGGGUGUGUGAACGGAAGGAAUUUCUUUUAUUUUCUAUGUUUUAUUUACAAUUCUUGCAAGUAUCGAAAAUACAUGGUUAAAGGUU